CUUGCAAGGACUUGGUGGCAAUAUCUUGUGGACGUUUCUCAAGGAACAGUGGCUCAAUACCACUCUUCGCACUCUAUAUAUUACAGCCUGUCAGUCUAUAAUUCCUGCCAGGAGAGGAACUUGAACGCUUCUCUUCGCUGCAAAGGCUACAUAUUUGUGGGUGUGACAGUAUCCAAUUCCUGCCAGAAGAGCGUUUGCUGCCAUCUCUUUCUUAUCUGUGCAUCGACCAUUGUUUUGCCUUGUAGAAAAGUCUUUUCGCAGGACAACAUAUCUUCUCUUGGAGAGCUAUUCAUUUGCAAGGUUUCUUUAUGUGUCAUUUCCAGAGGAGGGUUUACUAUUUAAUAUAGCUCUUUGUUUUUCUACGGAACAAUUGUCGCAACAUGGAGAAAUGGAAAGGUUCACCUGGAAUAUCUCAACUGACACAUUCCCAAAUACAGGCAUUGAAUGCAAAACAUUUUGAGAAGCCUACUUUUUGACAUAGGUGGCAUGGCACAAACUUGCUUCCGCAUUUCCUUCGCCAUUGGCACGUUGUCUCAUCCUUUUUAUUCUGUUACCAUCUUGAAGCUUGUGUAGAUGUGUUAUGCUCUUGUAAUUCCGAUCACAAACAUCGCUUGACAAAUGGAAAGUCACAGUUAGAUCUUUCAGGUGGUCUGGAGGAACAGACCAAACAUGUUCAUACGUGGCAUCGCUCAAGUCGUCAUCAUUUGGGACAGAAAAUCAGCCUUCAAUUGUCUGCUGAGUCAAUGAACCUUUCUAGAUAUCUCAAGUGUAACAGAAAUUGAUGAGUUACA